rnacentral:lncRNA from 1 species
AGUUAUCAUUUUUGUAGAGAAAUAUUGUAAAUCUGGGACUGUGAUUUAAAAUUUCAGAUAACAAGAGUUUUUGUUGAUAGAUGGGUAUGCUUUUAGAAUUUUCGAUCAAUUGGUUAUAAUUUCUUAAUAAAUUUUCCAAAACCUGCUAUUUUUAGAAAGUUUUCAUUUUGUAAGAAAAUAUUAUAGAUUUGGGAUUGAGAUUUAGAAAUUAGGAUAACAAGAGUUUUUGUCGCUAGAUUGGCAUGCUUUUAGAAUUUUUGAGCAAUAGGUUAUAUUUUUAAAAUAAACAUUUAAAAACUGCUAUAUUAGGAAAGUUAUUAUUUUGUUGAUAAAUAUUGUAGAUUUGAGAUUGUGAUUUAGAAAUUAGGAUUACAAUAGUUUUUGUUGAUAGAUGAGUAUGCUUUUAGAAUUUUUGAUCAAUUGGUUAUAAUUUUUAAAUAAAUUUUCCAAAACCUGCUAUUUUUAGAAAGUUUUCAUUUUGUAGGAAAAUAUUGUAGAUUUGGGAUUGAGAUUUAUAAAUUAGGAUAACAAGAGUUUUUUUUUGAUAUAUGGGCAUGCUUUUAGAAGUUUUGAUCAAUAGGUUAUAUUUUUAAAAUAAACUUUUAAAAACUGAUAUAUUUGGAAAGUUAUCAUUUUGUAGAUAAAUAUUGUUGAUUUGAGAUUUCGAUUUAGAAAUAAGGAUAAUAAGAGUUUUUAUUGAUAGAUGGGUAUGCUUAUUGAAUUUUUGAUCAGUAUGUUAUAAUGUUUAAAUAGAUUUCCCAAAACUUGUUAUUUUUGGAAAUUUAUCUUUUUGUAGAAAAACAUUGUAGAUUUAUGAUUGUGAUUUAGAAAUUAGGAUAACAAGAGCUUUUGUUGAUAGAUGGGUAUGCUUUUAGAAUUUUUGUUCAAUAGGCUAUAUUUUUAAAAUAAAAUUUUAAGAACUGCUAUAUUUAGAAAGUUAUCAGUUUGUAGAUAAAUAUUGUAGAUUUGAGAUUGUGAUUAAGAAUUUAGGAUAACAAGAGCUUUUGUUGAUAGAUGGGUAUGUUUUUAAAAUUUUCGAUCAAUAUGUUAUAUCCUGAAGAUAUAUUAUCUAAAACCAAUUAUGUUAGGAAAGUUAUCAUUUUUGUAGAAAAAUAUUGUAAAUCUGGGAUUGUGAUUUAAAAACUAGGAUAACAAGAGUUUUUGUUGAUAGAUGAGUAUGCUUUUAGAAUUUUCGAUCAAUUGGUUAUAAUUUCUAAAUAAAUUUUCCAAAACCUGAUAUUUUUAUAAAGUUUUCAUUUUGUAGAAAAUAUUGUAGAAUUGGGAUUGAGAUUUAGAAAUUAGGAUAACAAGAGUUUUCGUUGCUAAAAGGGCAUGCUUUUAGAGUUUUUGAUCAAUAUGUUAUAUUUUUAAAAUAAACUUUUAAAAACUGCUAUAUUUGGAAAGUUAUCACUUUGUAGAUAAAUAUUGUAGAUUUGAGAUUGCUAUUUAGAAAUUAAGAUAACAAGAGUUUUCGUUGCUAAAAGGGCAUGCUUUUAGAGUUUUUGAUCAAUAUGUUAUAUUUUUAAAAUAAACUUUUAAAAACUGCUAUAUUUGGAAAGUUAUCACUUUGUAGAUAAAUAUUGUAGAUUUGAGAUUGCUAUUUAGAAAUUAAGAUAACAAGAGUUUUUGUUGAUAGACGGGUAUGCUUUUAAAAUUUUUAAUCAAUUGGUUCUAAUUUUUAAAUAAAUUUUCCAAAACCUGCUAUUUUUAGAAAGUUUUCAUUUUUUAGGAAAUUAUUGUAGAUUUGGGAUUGUGAUUUAGAAAUUAGGAUAACAAGAGUUUUUGUUGAUAGAUGGGUAUGCUUUUAGAAUUUUUGAUCAAUAGGCUAUAUUUUUAAAAUGAAAUUUUAAAAACUGUUAUAUUUGAAAAGUUAUCAUUUUGUAGAUAAAUAUUGUAGAUUUGAGAUUGUGAUUAAUAAUUUAGGAUAACAAGAGCUUUUGUUGAUAGAUAGGUAUGCUUUUAAAAUUUUCGAUAAAUAUGUUAUAUCUUGAAGAUAUAUUAUCUAAAACCAAUUAUGUUAGGAAAAUUAUCAUUUUUGUCGACAAAUAUUGUAAAUCUGGGAUUGUGAUUUAAAAAUUAGGAUAACAAGAGUUUUUGUUGAUAGAUGAGUAUGCUUUUAGAAUUUUUGAUCAAUUGAUUAUAAUUUCUUAAUAAAUUUUUCAAAACCUGAUAUUUUUAUAAAGUUUUCAUUUUGUAGGAAAUUAUUGUAGAUUUGGGAUUGAGAUUUAGAAAUUAGGAUAACAAGAAUUUUUGUUGCUAGAAGGGCAUGCUUUUAGAGUUUUUGAUCAAUAGGUUAUAUUUUUAAAAUAAACUUUUAAAAACUGCUAUAUUUGGAAAGUUAUCAUUUUGUAGAUAAAUAUUGUAGAUUUGAGAUUGUGAUUUAGAAAUUAGGAUAACAAGAGUUUUUGUUGAUAGAUGAGUAUGCUUUUAGAAUUUUUGAUCAAUUGGUUAUAAUUUUUUAAUAAAUUUAAAAAAAAUUCAAAACCUGCUAUUUUUAGAAAGUUUUCAUUUUUUAGGAAAAUAUUGUAGAUUUGGGAUUGUGAUUUAGAAAUUAGGAUAACAAGAUUUUUUGUUGAUAAAUGGGUAUGCUUUUAGAAAUUUUGAUCAAUAGGUUAUAUUUUUAAAAUUAAAUUUUAAAAACUGCUAUAUUUGGAAAGUUAUCAUUUUGUAGAUAAAUAUUGUAGAUUUGAGAUUGUGAUUUAGAAAUUAGGAUAACAAGAGUUUUUGUAGAUAAAUGUGUAUGCUUUUAGAAUUUUUGAUCCAUAUUGUGAUUUAGAAAUUAAAAUACGAAUAGUUUUUGUUGAUAGACGGGUAUGCUUUUAGAAUUUUCUAUCAAUUGGUUAUAAUUUUUAAAUAAAUUUUCAAAAACCUGCUAUCUUUAGAAAAUUUUCGUUUUGUAGGAAAAUAUUGUAUAUUUGAGAUUGAGAUUUAGAAAUUACGAUAACAAGAGUUUUUGUUGAUAGAUGGGCAUGCUUUUAGAAGUUUUGAUCAAUAGGUUAUAUUUUUAGAAUAAACUUUUAAAAACUGCUAUUUUUGGAAAGUUAUCAUUUUGUAGAUAAAUAUUGUAGAUUUGAGAUUUCUAUUUAGAAAUUAAGAUAACAAGAGUUUUUGUUGAUAGAUGGGUGUGCUUUUAGAAUUUUCGAUCAAUUGGUUAUAAUUUUUAAAUAAAUUUUCUAAAACCUGCUAUUUUUAGAAAUUUUUCAUUUUGUAGGAAAAUAUUGUAGAUUUGGGAUUGAGAUUUAGAAAUUUGGAUAACAAGAGUUUUUGUUGAUAGAUGAGCAUGCUUUUAGAAUUUUUGAUCAAUAGGUUAUAUUUUUAAAAUAAACUUUUAAAAACUGCUAUAUUUGGAAAGUUAUCAUUUUGUAGAUAAAUAUUGUAGAUUUGAGAUUGUGAUUUAGAAAUUAAGAUAUGAAGAGUUUUUGUUGAUAGAUGGGUAUGCUUUUAGAAUUUUCGAUCAAUAGGUUAUAAUUUUUUAAUAAAUUUUCAAAACCUACUAUUUUUAGAAAUUUUUCAUUUUGUAGGAAAAUAUUUUAGAUUUGGGAUUGAGAUUUAGAAAUUAGGAUAACAAGAUUUUUUGUUGAUAGAUGGGCAUGCUUUUAGAGUUUUUGAUCAAUAUGUUAUAUUUUUAAAAUAAACUUUUAAAAACUGCUAUAUUUGGAAAGUUAUCAUUUUGUAGAUAAAUAUUGUGGAUUUGAGAUUGUGAUGUAGAAAUUAGGAUAACAAGAGUUUUUGUUGAUAGAUGAGUAUGCUUUUAGAAUUUUCGAUCAAUUGGUUAUAAUUUUUAAAUAAAUUUUCCAAAACCUGCUAUUUUUAUAAAGUUUUCAUUUUUUAGGAAACUAUUGUAGAUUUGAGAUUGUGAUUUAAAAAUUAGGAUAACAAGAUAUUUUAUUGAUAAAUGGGUAUGCUUUUAGAAAUUUUGAUCAAUAGGUUAUAUUUUUAAAAUAAAAUUUUAAAAACUGCUAUAUUUGGAAAGUUAUCAUUUUUUAGAUAAAUAUUGUAGAUUUAAGAUUGUGAUUUAGAAAUUAGUAUAACAAGAGUUUUUGUAGAUAAAUAGGUAUGAUUUUAGAAAUUUUUAUCAAUAUAUUAUAUAUUGUAGAUAUAUUAUCUAAAACCAUAGAUUGAGAUUCUAAUUUAAAACACCUUUUCAUAUGUUUCUUUUAGUUUUUGAUCAAGGUG